CUCAGUAGAGACUUGAGUAUCCACAUUUAAGUGAAAGAAGUCCACACAUAGACACUCCGGAAUUGCUACGAAUGAUGUUGUGGACGAUGUGCAUGGUUUAUAAACAGUAUAGUUUUUUUUAUGUAUACAUAGUUUAAUAUAAGGUACUCGCUUAUUCGUGAAGCAUGAACUGGGUCGGGGGUACGCGAAGCAGGUUCAUGGCCAAAAAUGAUACAAGACGACAAAAGGAUUAUUUUGAAAAGAAAAGACUUCUAAGGAAGACAAACCUUUUGGGAUUAUCGGCCUCAAAUGCUCAUGGAAAUAACAGCAGCAUGGAUCUAAUUACAAUGUUUGUUGUAAAUCAGAUUUCAGCAAAUAAGCUGAAA